AUUGAACGCUGGCGGCAGGCUUAACACAUGCAAGUCGAGCGAGCGGCGGACGGGUGAGUAAUGUCUGGGAAACUGCCUGAUGGAGGGGGAUAACUACUGGAAACGGUAGCUAAUACCGCAUACCAUCAGAUGUGCCCAGAUGGGAUUAGCUAGUGGGUGGGGUAAUGGCUCACCUAGGCGACGAUCCCUAGCUGGUCUGAGAGGCUGACGAGCCAAACGGGGACUGGGACACGGUCCAGACUCCAACGGGAGGCAGCAGGGGGGAAUAUGGCACAAAGGGCGAAAGCCUGAUACAGCCAUGCCGGGUGUGUGAAGAAGGCCUUCGGGUUGUAAAGUACUUUCAGCGAGGAGGCGUUACUCGCAGAAGAAGCACCGGCUAACUCCGUGCCAGCAGCCGCGGUAAUAC
rnacentral:rRNA from 1 species